CCCAGUAACAUGCCAGAGAGAUUCUGUGGUUGAUCGUAGAUAAAUUUUCUCCUCCAGGGCCGAAUGUGACCGGGGAAGAGUACCAACCGUGUUGACGGGCUUCACUUUACAUUCCUGCCCUUUAAUCUCGAGUGGGCACUUCACACCGCCCAGUGCUCAUACUGGGACUCUAACUCAGUCAUCCUCCUACUCGCGGAGAGAGUACAAUGCUGUAAACCCUCCAGAAUGAUUUGGAGACUCCAGUCUUGAAUUUUGUGCUGUGAAGACACAAGCCCAGUUUUUAUGCAAAGAGGAAGUAUGCAUACAAAGAAAGUCAUCUUUCCUUCACACUGACAGAAUAAAUUAAUUUCAUAAACAUAUCAAAUAAAAAAUGUGCCUUCAGUGAUGAGUGCCAAGCAUGGGAGCCUCCACAGGUCUGCAGGGGAUGAGGCGGUAGUCAAGGGGCUCCCUGAGAACAGGUGCUUUCAAGCAGCCUCGAACUGUCAUUUCUUCCCACAUCUGACCCACUAAUGCUUAAUAAAAAUGUUGAAUAAAUAGCUGCAUAUUUUCAUAAUGGGCCGAGAGGAUACU